UACGUAGGGCGCGAGCGUUGUCCGGAAUCAUUGGGCGUAAAGAGCUCGUAGGCGGCCGGUUGCGUCUGCUGUGAAAUCCCGGGGCUUAACCCCGGGCGUGCAGUGGAUACGGGCUGGCUGGAGGCAGGCAGGGGAGAAUGGAAUUCCCGGUGUAGCGGUGAAAUGCGCAGAUAUCGGGAGGAACACCGGUGGCGAAGGCGGGUUGCUGGGCUGACACUGACGCUGAUGCGCGAAAGCCAGGGGAGCGAACGGG
rnacentral:rRNA from 1 species